UAUAAGUCAAUUAUAAUCCGAUACAUUUUAGACAAUAAUAUAUUGGCUGUCAAUUCGAUGGUUGAAGACAAGAAAAAAGAAAAGAAUUUCUUAAGAUAAAAGUCAGUAAGAAUGCUAAUCUUGAUGGAAGGAAAUUGAUAGUGCGGAGCAAUCAGGUAAACCAUUUUCUAAUAUUUGAUUUCUAUACACAAAAUAUCCACCAAUUAUAAAAGUAAGUUGAAUCAUAUUCGUUUCAUUAUUUCAUAUACCAUAAUUUUGUCUAUAUAUUCAACAUAGACAAUAGGUUCACACAAACCAAUAUUUUCACAUGAAUAAUCAAUAUUUGAUUAUUUAAAUAAAAUAACAAUAAAAUUGACUAUAAACUCAAAUACAAAUAUUUAUUUGAAAAAAUUAUUUUUUGAUUUUA